rnacentral:rRNA from 1 species
CAGCAGCCACGGGAAUACGGAGGGUGCAAGCGUUAAUCGGAAUUACUGGGCGUAAAGCGUGCGUAGGCGGUUCGUUAAGUCUGUUGUGAAAGCCCCGGGCUCAACCUGGGAAUGGCAAUGGAUACUGGGAAGCUAGAGUAUGGGAGAGGAUGGUAGAAUUCCAGGUGUAGCGGUGAAAUGCGUAGAGAUCUGGAGGAAUACCGAUGGCGAAGGCAGCCAUCUGGCCUAAUACUGACGCUGAGGUACGAAAGCAUGGGGAGCAAACAGGAUUAGAUACCCCUGUAGUCCCUGUCUCUUAUAC